GUGCAGCAGUCGCGAAACCUCCGCAAUGCGCGCAAGCGCGACGGGGCCAUCCCGAGUGCCGCUCGCUGAGGGCGGCUUUUCUCCGGUGUAAGUAGCCGGAGGAAUAAGGAGAGGGCAAGUCUGGUAUCAGCCGCCGCGGUAAUACCAGCUCUCCGAGUGGUGGGGACGAUUAUUGGGCCUAAAGCGUCCGUAGCCGGCUUGACAAGUCUCCCGUUAAAUCCAGCGGCCUAACCGCUGGGCUGCGGGAGAUACUGUCAAGCUUGGGGGCGGGAGAGGCCAGCGGUAUUCCCGGGGUAGGGGUGAAAUCCGUUAAUCCCGGGAGGACCACCAGUGGCGAAGGCGGCCGGCCAGAACGCGCCCGACGGUGAGGGACGAAAGCUGGGGGAGCGAACCGGAUUAGAUA
rnacentral:rRNA from 1 species